AAUUAUGUGCACCCCCUCCCUCCACUCAUUAUAAAGUGAAUAUCCUCGAUAGUAAGCUUUCUCUCAGAUUAGAUUAGUGGAAAAAUGCAGUGCUAAAGUAGUAAGCAAAGUAACACGAAGGAGUGAGUGGCAGCUCUUGACCCUGGCACUUUGGGGGUUGUGGAGAGCGAAGGGUUGAAACAACCCUGAAAGACUCCUAAGCCUCUUGAGAUUCUUGAGGCAGAUAAGAAUGUAAUGAGCCAGGAUAGGAAACUGAUACAGAAACAAAGAUGUUGACUGUCUGCUAGACAAAAAAGUAACAUUCCCGGAAUUGUAAAGAUACACUUGACCUUUUCUCUGUAAAAAUAAUUAGUCACGAGAUCAUGAGGGGAGGAAGGGAGGGAAGCUGUGGGUGAUGAGGAAUGAUAUAUAAAAGGCUCAACAUAGAGGGAAGGAGAAGGCACUCGCUCUCUCCUCUCCUUUUCUUUUCUCUCGUGUUUGUGUUGUUUUUCUUAAUCCUCACCCUUGUCCUCGGGUACUGUUUGACUAGUGAUGGCUGGCUCCGUCAGGGGGUGGGAGGCAGGCUGUGUUUAAAAGGCUUUGGCUGCGCUGAAAUCACCCGCUUUUCCUUCACGGGUAAAACCAGGAAACUCAACUCGAGUGGGAACGUAAUCCUCCGCUCCGCUGGCAGCGGAGACUGCGGCUGCUCCGCCGAGAGCUAUGGAGACCAGAGGCUACCCCAGUCUCCCUGAAGGUCUGACAGCUUCGGUGUGCAGCCCUCCAGUCAGCUCUGUGUCCUCCACCACAGCUAGCUUUGGCGGUUUCCCAGUGCACAGCCCCAUCCCCCAAGGAACUCUGACGUGCUCCCCGAAUGUUGAGAACCGAGGGUCCCGGUCGCACAGCCCUGCACAUGCUAGCAACGUGGGCUCCCCUCUCUCAAGUCCCUUAAGUAGCAUGAAAUCCCCAGUCUCC
rnacentral:lncRNA from 1 species